UCAAUGUCUCUGCCGUGGCGGAUCUGCAAGUGGCACCGCAAGCGGAGCGGGAGGCAGCGCAACAGCGGUGGACAGCGGCGAAGCACAAAUCUUCUUGGCGAAGGAGGCGGCGACGAACAGAAGGGAGAGCUCGCCACCAAGGUCGGACCUGUCGACGGGGAAGAUGAAUCCCCAAGCACUGGGGUGGAACAAAAGGUGGAGAGGGCGUCCCAAUGAUAGCCACAACAAGUUCAGGAAGAAUCUUGGAGCACCUUCUAUCAAGGAUUUGAACUUUUGAAGCCAUCUCUGUUCUCUUUCGGCUCCGCUUGAUGGAUGACCAAAAGUAGCUUUAUAUCCCCAUGAAAGUCUCGAAUGUUCCAGAAGUAUUGUUCAUGUACAUUAUGAAAAUGCUAUUCGGUUGAGUCAUGUUUUUAUUCUAUCAAAUGAUGAUUUUUUUAGUAUAGUCGACAGUAAAAA